rnacentral:rRNA from 1 species
GACGAACGCUGGCGGCGUGCCUAAUACAUGCAAGUAGAACGUGAAGAGAGGAGCUUGCUCUUCUUGGAUGAGUUGCGAACGGGUGAGUAACGCGUAGGUAACCUGCCUGGUAGCGGGGGAUAACUAUUGGAAACGAUAGCUAAUACCGCAUGACAUUGAUUAUCGCAUGAUAAUUAAUUGAAAGAUGCAAUUGCAUCACUACCAGAUGGACCUGCGUUGUAUUAGCUAGUUGGUGAGGUAACGGCUCACCAAGGCGACGAUCAUAGCCGACCUGAGAGGGUGAUCGGCCACACUGGGACUGAGACACGGCCCAGACUCCUACGGGAGGCAGCAGUAGGGAAUCUUCGGCAAUGGGGGGAACCCUGACCGAGCAACGCCGCGUGAGUGAAGAAGGUUUUCGGAUCGUAAAGCUCUGUUGUAAGAGAAGAACGGGUGUGAGAG